rnacentral:lncRNA from 1 species
GGCUAUUCUAAAGAAGGUUAACAGGAAAGGCCUUUCUAAGAAGAAAAUAUCUGACCUGAGACCUAAAGAAUAAGGAAUUGCAAGUCAAGGGAGGAUGUACAGGGAGAGCCUUCCAGGCUUGUGAAGACCAGAGUGAUGUGAGUGGAGUAACCUAAACAGUCUUUUAGGACGUUUAUUCUGUCAACAGUCUGCAGAAAGAAUUAAGUGGUCAAGAGCCAGAAAGGUGGAAGACCAGUUGGAAAGCUACUCUUGUCAGCCAGACAGAAGAUAUCAAGGGCUUGAAUUCGGGGCAUGACACUAAGCAUAGGAGAGAAAUUGUGGGUAAGAAAACACUGAAGAUAUCAGGAGGUACCUUAACCUGCUGAGAAUUUAAGAAUUGGACAAAGGAAGUGUCAGCAGUCUGAGGAAAGAAGGAAGAAAGUAUGAAACAGGUGUGGAUGGCUAGAGCUUGAGUUGCCAAGGACACUGG